CUGGCACAGGCGGGCGGCGCGCGCUGCAGGUGGCAACUUGGGGGUGCCGCCACCACCGCUGCGGGCCGAGCCCGGGUCUGGCGGCCCUUUCCAGCCUCGGGCGGCCCCUUCCCGCCGCCAAACCCGAGACUAGACCCGGGGAAUCCGAAGGAAAGAGCCGCGGCGCAGGGGACCUGUGAGCAGCCCUUACCCCUCCUCUGCCCUUGCGCUACUUUUUUUCUUCAAGGAAGGUUGUGCCUGGGGGCUGAGAACAGGCUCCAGGAGGCGCCGGAGAGGAAGGCUCCCGGUGACCCAGACUCGGAAGCCAGGCCGGAGCAGGAGGCCGAGCCGCGGGAGGCGGGCGGCGAGGAGCGGCGCGCCCAGGAGGUGCUCGCGGCCGCGCCCGGCAGCCCCGCGCCGGAGCAGGUGAGCGGCCGCCUCCCGCGCCCCCGCGCCCUCGGUCUCUGGGCGGGAGGGGAACUGUGGGCUCGUGGGCGUCGCCCCUUGUGGGCCCAGCAGGGGCGUCUACUCUAUGUCAAGGCUUCCAGUGAAUGGCCUUCCACACCCUGGCCGGCGGUGCCUUCAUCUGAUGAGAGCACGUGAACUCACUGAAAUCUGCACUACGGGUUACGGGUUUCCUCUGGAUUCGCAGGAAGCCCCCAUAGGACAGCUUUAAUUAUGCUCCAGAUUUUUAUUCAAACCCAGGGGUUGGAGCUGUUUUAUUUUUCCAGGAGUCACUCUGACCCUAAUGCUGCCAGUUGCUAUUACCCGAUGUUCACCUAGGACUGUCUCCUUCUCCUAUGUACAGGGGUAUUUUCAAUUCUGUUUCCUAGGCAUCUUUAAGUUGUCAGGUGUAGUGUGAAUAUUUCUUUUAAAAGUUUUCAUGCAAAAAAAUAAAGCAUGGUUUAUACUUGGACCUGGAGUGAAU
rnacentral:lncRNA from 1 species